UAUGACCACUCUCUUCCUUUCAAGCAUCACCCUCUCUUAGAAACAGCGCUACAGUGAAUAUCUUUCUUCAAUUCUCAUUUCAGACAAACCAGCAUCACCAGCAAUGUGACGGUUAAUCUGUGAAGGUGUCCUGGUGACUGGAAGUGGUCUCUUCUAACUAAAUUCAUUUCACAUAUCUUAUUUUAUAUACUAUUCUGAUAUCUUACUUUUGUUCAUCGUGAUGUUGAUGUUUACUACUCAAAAUAUACAAGACACCAACUUUAAAAUGAAGGAAUCUUAAGAAAACUAUCACUUCAAUUGACCUAUUUUGAAAUACAUAGACAAGAGCCCAGAAUAUCAACUUUUCUUACUAUUCUGUGAUGAAAACACUAACCAUCAACGAAGACAACCAGCAGUGAAGGGAGCCCCUUCAAAGCCUAACCCUUCCCAUGUAAACAAAGAAUUCUUCCCCAAAGAAACUCAGAGCUCUCCUCUGGGCAGUGAACAGUGGAUACAACAACCCAGAUUGUGAACAGGCAUUUAAAUAAAAAAAAAUCUUCACCUUCCUUAUUAGUUCUUUUUGGAAAAGACUGCUUCUCCCCCAGAUUACACAAUGCACGGGCUAUAAUUAUAAUCACAUUCCUAAGUCCUGCCAGCUCCAAGCCCAAAUCAGUCUUUCUCUCCUCCCAACCCCUUUUUUUAAAAGUAAAGGUGACUUUUCCAUCACUUAAGCCACAAUUUUUGAUGCAAAAACAGCUUCAUCAAAAAGUAAAUUCACUCUCAGAAAUAAAGAGCUAUUUCCCA